UUUUUUUCCUUUUUUAUACACAAAGAUAGUAGUGACAAAAACUAGACUGCCUUAGAAUUACAGAGGUCAAAUAUCUGCAGUAGUAUAACAUGGCAUUUCACUUUUAGUUGGCUUUUAAAAAUGGAAAAAUCAAUUAAAAAUAUUCUUAUUAAUAUGGCAGUUAAAAUUUGACACAUUGACUAGGAGCCUAUGAAGUAUAACUCUAUAUAUCUAUAAAUUGGAAGAAUCUUUUUUUGGGGGGUACCAGGAAUUGAACUCGGGUCCUUGCGCUUGCAAGGCAGGCCACCGAACUGCUAAGCUAAAUCCCCAGCCUGGAAGAAUUUUUAUAGUAUCAAAUACACACACCACAUUAAUAAAAUAUUGUGUUUAUUUUUAGGUUGUCUUCUUGGUAUCAAGAUUUAACUUCAUAAAGCAACCUGUUACAAAGUGACAAUGGGAAAACAACAUAAUAAAGAAAACCUACUAUGGCAACAAGGGGAGAAUUUACAGAAGGAAUUAGGAGGGAAAGCUAAGAAGAAAAUAUGGAAAUUGAAAGAGACAGAACGUUUUAGAAACGGAGCAGAGCAAAGGAGCUAAUGUGACCCUUGCACCCUUGUGAAGGUCUGCAUCUGUGGAGAUGGCGCUGUUUUGGGCACUCAUCCUUGUAAAUGGGGGCACUUGAGGGUCCAGAAAGGACUGUGAGUGGGCCAAUGCUGAAGGGGAAAAGUCCCCCUCACCUAAGUCCAUGACCUCCAACUGCAGGGAAACCAUUAUGCACAUCCAGAGUGCCAGGUGUUAAAAACAGGAGGCAGUUUCCCCGCACAGCCAGAACUUGAGGGAAACCAUAUUUUCUUUUUAAGGGUGACAUAAUGAAAUAAAUGAGUCGUUUAACACUUGGAGUUGACGUAUGAGCCUAGACUGUAUGAACUGAAAUAGACUAGUCUUCUCAAAACUGAAUGAGCACAUGGAGCAUAAAUAUCCAUUGCACAGUACUUUUUUUUUUUUGCAGUGAUAACAAGUGUAAUUCUCAUACUGACACUUUCCUCUGUCUCACCGUCUGCACCAGUUGCACUUAGGUCAUUUUUAGCCACCAUACUUCAUGUUUCUGUGGAUUCCAUGGCUCAUUUGAUGUAAUAGUCUAGAAUGAAGGGCCUGAGUUCUCACAGCCUGGG
rnacentral:lncRNA from 1 species